AUUGAACGCUGGCGGCAGGCCUAACACAUGCAAGUCGAGCGGUAACACAGGGAGCUUGCUCCUGGGUGACGAGCGGCGGACGGGUGAGUAAUGUCUGGGAAACUGCCUGAUGGAGGGGGAUAACUACUGGAAACGGUAGCUAAUACCGCAUAAUGUCGCAAGACCAAAGAGGGGGACCUUCGGGCCUCUUGCCAUCGGAUGUGCCCAGAUGGGAUUAGCUUGUUGGUGAGGUAAAGGCUCACCAAGGCGACGAUCCCUAGCUGGUCUGAGAGGAUGACCAGCCACACUGGAACUGAGACACGGUCCAGACUCCUACGGGAGGCAGCAGUGGGGAAUAUUGCACAAUGGGCGCAAGCCUGAUGCAGCCAUGCCGCGUGUGUGAAGAAGGCCUUCGGGUUGUAAAGCACUUUCAGCGGGGAGGAAGGCGGUGAGUUUAAUAAGCUCACCGAUUGACGUUACCCGCAGAAGAAGCACCGGCUAACUCCGUGCCAGCCGCCGCCGUAA
rnacentral:rRNA from 1 species